rnacentral:rRNA from 1 species
GAUGAACGCUAGCGGCAGGCUUAAUACAUGCAAGUCGAGGGGCAGCACGAAUAGCAAUAUUUGGUGGCGACCGGCGCACGGGUGCGUAACACGUAUACAACCUACCUAUAACAGGGGGAUAGCCUUUCGAAAGAGAGAUUAAUACCCCGUAAUAAAUUGAGUGGCAUCACUUGAUUUUGAAAGCUACGGCGGUUAUAGAUGGGUAUGCGUCUGAUUAGCUAGUUGGUGAGGUAACGGCUCACCAAGGCGACGAUCAGUAGGGGAUCUGAGAGGACUAACCCCCANACUGGUACUGAGACACGGACCAGACUCCUACGGGAGCAGCAGUAAGAUAUUGGUCAAUGGAGCAACUCUGAACCAGCCGUGCCGCGUGCAGGAUGACGGCCCUAUGGGUUGUAAACUGCUUUUGUACCAGAGAAAACCUACUCACGUGUGAGUAGCUGAUAGUAUGGUAAGAAUAAGCAUCGGCUAACUUCGUGCCAGCA